CCCCAGUGCUGGGAUUAAGGUGUAUACUAUCACAUCUGGCCAAAUUCUUAAUCUAUUCUAAACACUUCACUAAAGAUAAGGUCUCAUCAACGCUGACAAAGCCCAUAGUUUCCAUCAUUCCCUACUGUGAGCUCAUACAAAGGAAACUGAGUCUUGUCUGGGAAAAACAAAAAGAAAAAGCCAAUUCCUUUACUGUAUGAAUUAAUGGCAUCUUAAUUCAGUCAUUCAAAAGGGAACACAGAAGCUACAACAAAAAGGCAUCUCGGAAAUUCAGAACUUUCUUAGGCGAAACUGCCCCAGAGUAACAGGGUCAGAGUGAAGUGUCAUAAUACACUAACAAGCUAUUCUUGGACAAGCUUGAACUCAGGCUACUAAGAAUUUCCAUCUGACUUUAAAGUAUACUAUUCAUCAGUGAGCAACUGAGGGCCAUCUACCCGCAAACUUCUCCCACACUUCCUCCCUUGUGUCUCAGCAAACAGAAGAGAGACCUUAUACUACCACUGCCAUGUAAACCAAAGACAGACUUUCCCAGCCUAACCAUGAAAAGGAGAAGUUUCCGAGUAGCUCUGCCAUUUAUUUAUGUGGUUCUGGCUGUGUGUUUGAGAAGCUGAGGUGGGUUCUUAGAAACUUGCAAAGCUCGGGCAGAUGAGCUCAUCUGUUGACAUUCCUGACUUUUUUCUUUUAAGGUGUGCAUUCAAAUUACCCACAUAGAAAAAACAAUCCAUACUCUUCUGUGUAAAGGCUGUCUUCAAAUAAAAGAACAGAGAACUUCCAACCCCUUCUUUUCUCUUCCCAUCCUACCUUUCAAUUUUAUUGUGAUAUUAAGAAAGCCAGACAAUUUCAGCAUGGAAUUCAAGGUGCUACUACUUGGUAAACUAUUAACUACAUAGUAAACACAGUUUUGCUUUCAACAAUGGUAAGGUUUCCAAGAGGUCAAAAAGACAUCUCUCACAAUAAUAAAUGCCACUAACUGUCCUCUUCCACUUUAUACACAGAGGUCCAACAGAACACGAGAGAGAAUACUGCAUGUGUACAUCACUGGAACAAGAAUCUGUUCGGGUUUCCCUGGGAAUCCAGAGUGAUCAGCCUCCGAAGAACCAAUGCUAUGCAACAGGCAGUUCACAGUCGAGUGAACAUCAAUGUGGAAUGAGUGGAGGCAUUUCAAUGCAAAUAAAUGCUGAAUAUGAAGGAUUAAAGAAAGGGAAAUUAAUCUUUUUCAUAACACAAGGCUGCCUAGCUGGGCAUGUGAAUGUGACAGCAAGCUGGCAAAA
rnacentral:lncRNA from 1 species